AUAACGUCUUGGUCCUAAACUUGGUGUUAUUUGAUACCGACCAUACACAUGCAAGUCUCCGCACUCCUGUGCCAACGCCUACCCCACACACACAGAGCUGACAUCAGGCACGUCAACCAGACAGCCCAUGACGCCUAGCCAAUGCCACACCCCCACGGACCCCAGCAGUGAUUAACAUUAAGACAUAAGCCACAAAACCCUAAAGCUUGACUUAGGCACGGCACUCAGGGCCGGUAAACACCGUGCCAGCCACCGCGGUUAUACGAUGAGCCCAAAAUAACACCACACGGCGUAAAAUGUGACUAGAAAGACUUUUAACGAGGAACCACGAUCAAAACUUGUAGCACAGAAAUAAAACCCUCAUACUACACAGAACCACAACCAACUCUCCUCCAACAAAAUCUUUUGACCACACGAAACCUAAGACACAAACUAGGAUUAGAUACCCUACUAUGCUUAGAAGUAAACCAAGGCAGUCAACCCAACCCCCUGCCCGCCAGAGAACUACAAGCGAAAAGCUUAAAACUCAAAGGACUUGACGGCAUUCCACAUCACACUAGAGGAGCCUGUCCUAUAAUCGAUAACCCACGUUUAACCUCACCUGUUCUCGCACACACCAGCCUAUAUACCGCCGCCUCCAGCCCGCCUUACAAAAGCACCAACAGCGAGCAAAACAGUCCUUAACACUAACACGUCAGGUCAAGGUGUAGCUAACGCACAGGCAGAGAUGGGCUACAUUUUCUCAACCAAAAGAAAACCACCACCCGCACCAUGAAACAAGUGCACAAAGGAGGAUUUAGCAGUAAGCCACGCAAGCCUGCGUGACUGAACCGUGCCCUGGAAUGUGUACACACCGCCCGUCACCCUCAUCCAAGCCAACAACGAAAAGUUAUAUAACACCACACAACAAUACAAGAUGAGACAAGUCGUAACAAGGUAAGUGCACUGGAAAGUACACUUGGCACACC
rnacentral:ncRNA from 1 species